CAGACUGGUGUGAAAAAAACUGGGAGGUUUCCUGGGGCCUCUCUCUUUUUAGGAGUCCCACUUAAGCUCAGUUCUUUGCCUGAGUGUGUGCCUGUACCUGGCUGUGUUCCUGCCUGCCCUGGCCUUGGCUUGGCUUCCUGGCCUGAGCUUGGUCCUGCCUCAUCACUGCAGACUUGUCUGGUGAGUGCAGGACUGUGGCUGACCCCAGGUAAUGCAACUGGACCUGCUCUGCCUGCUCAGAGGCUGUGGGACUGUGCUGCUUGUUUGGGAGGUCCCUGCCGGCCUUGCUUUGCCCCUGGCUCCCACCUUGCCCUCCUGGCCAGAGGUCUUGCUGCUCCCAGCUUAGCUCAGUAAAUAGAGGUUCCCGUUGCCUGUUGCCCUGUGCUGGUUCCUUGGGCAGGCUGCACAAGCUGCUGGAGCUCAGCCCUUCCACCCUGGGCCAGGAGCAGAAGAUGACUCAGAAAAGCCCAGCUUGGUUAUGGAGGGCUGACACAACGUCAGGAAGCGGAGUCACGGCUCGCUGCCUGGAUGGAAUUCUUUGAAGAUAUUGCUGCUCAGGAAAUGUGAGGGACAAACUAUAAAGACACAACCUGAAGCUUGCCAAAGUGUGUCUGAAAAUGUUUGAUCUGUGUGUCAAGUGUCUGCCCUUUGUAAAUGGCUCUUUUAAAGCUAUAUGUGUAACCCUGCAUUUGCAGAGUACAGCCAGUUUGUGAGCAUCGCUGAUGAAAUCUCACAAUUACUUAAAUAGUGUGCCAAGAGCAAGUUUUUCAGAUUAAUAGUGACAAAUACUACCAGGAAAUUUGGCCUGAUAGCAGAGUAUGAAAUUGCAACAGUAAAUAGACAUUUGAAAACUUCACACAGUAGAAAUAAUUUAAAUUCUUUCUCAUAUUUACAUCAACAAUAAAGGAAUUCAAGGACAAGAAUGAGAGAUAAAAAUACUGUUUGGAAGAAUGGAUGGCCCAUUGCAUGUCUGAGUAAACAGAUCAGCUUCAGGUUGUUUUCAGGAAGAACUGGAACUGGAGAAGCUGUAACUUUCCUCCUCCAUGGAGUCUGGCAGCAACUGCUGGCUGGAGCUUCACAUUCUGCAAAUGCCAAGGGGGUCAGGCCCCAGGGGCAACACCAGCCAUGUGUGCUGUCUUUGUUGCAGUCAUGCAGACCUGAAUGAUUUUACCUGGGAGCUUGAGAUGAUUCUUCUUCACAUCACAUUCCACCCUUACUGAGACUGAACGCGGAAGGACAACCCCUUGGGUCCAGGAGGAGGAGGCAACAUCCCACCUCUGCUUCCCAGGAGACUUGGUUGUAAUUUCUCAGCUUCAUACAUCUAGAGAAUCUGGACCAAGGUUCAGUGCCUGGUGCACAGUAGGUCCUUUGCUGUUUACCAGGGAAAGAGGAAAUGUGACCCUCAGUAGCCCUUUGUGCCAAUUCUGGCAUCUUUGUGAAUAUGGUAUUUGCUGUUAAGAUUGUGCAACUCUAGUCAGGUGGCAAAUUUGGGGAACAGGAGUGUGCAGAAUAGCCUGUGGUCUUCAGAUGUCAUUGUGUGUGUGAUGGAAUGAGCUCCUGAGAGCUCUAGGGGUAGCAACGGAGACUGCUGGCAGAUGGACAAACCAAAAUGUGUGUGUUCUCCAGAAGAAAAGUGGAAACCUCUAGGAUGUGAUAAUGGAAAAGGGGAAAUAGUUAAACUAAGGAACUGCCUCAUUGUCACAUGUCAGAAGAAAGAAAAAAAAAAUGGAGAAAAUGAGGAUAGGGAUCCAGAUGUCAGGUUUUCACCUGUCAAUUCCAUUUACACAGACUAGACACCUCCUUUACAGCUGGGGCUUUGAUAAGGUCUAACACAGGUGUUAUGUUGGGGGCUCUUUUUAGACUUCCAUAGCAUUAAUAAGGUUUUUCUAAGGAAAUCAUGCCAGAGACAGGAUUUUUGACAUUACUUUAUCAGUCCCCUUCUGAAUUUUGGGCCAACUUCUAACCAAAUUUGGUUGUUCUUAAAAGUGAUAUGAAAAUAGCUGCAGAGAAAGAGGAAAGAACUUUAACUUUUUCUGAGGGAAAAAUUGUAUUCAUUAGAGAAUCCUCUAAGGACUUCAAUCUUGGGACAUAAAUUGUAUGAGAAAUAGUAUUUUAUUUUGCUGCUCAAAGAACUAUUUGUCUUAACAUCUUAACAAGAUCUUUAAAAAGUUACAUUUAAAGAGAGCCCUCUCUCUCAUUUUGAGGCUAUUAAUCCCUUGUGCUACAAAUGUUUAUGUGCAGGACUAGUCUUGGCAGAUCAUUAGGCUUUAAAGCUAUUCCCCAUUAAGUCCAUAUAUAAAUACUUGCAAUAUCAGGUCUUUGCUGAAACUAAAUAAAUGCUAGAAAGAGCUUUUUACUGUGGCUGGAAUGAAAUGUCUUCAGUGAUGGUGCAUGAUGCCCUCCAAGUUCUGGGGUUUUUAAUGAAAGGAAAAAUGGUAACAAACGGCUUGCUCGCCAUACAGAGAUCUGAAGGGAUAUCCUUUGUAAGGAGACUUACUGACCCUCUGCUCCAGCAUAGUACAACUAGGGAAAAAACAAACUCUGGAUAAAUUAGAUAAAGAAAUUUGAUUUUAUGAGUUAUGGUGGUUGCAAAAUUCCUGCAAAAUGCAAUCCUGUUUACAUAGUUAAAAAAAUUGAUCAAUGUUCUAUGGCUAUUUACACAAGGGAAUGGAAGCUGAAUCAAAUGUUUAAAAAAAAAAACCC